GUAUAGGUGUCGGUUCUAUUA
rnacentral:miRNA from 1 species